rnacentral:rRNA from 1 species
GAUGAACGCUGGCGGUAUGCUUAACACAUGCAAGUCGAACGGGAUUCUUCGGAAUCUAGUGGCGGACAGGUGAGUAACGCGUGAGAAUCUGCCUUCAGGUCGGGGACAACAUUUGGAAACGAAUGCUAAUACCCGAUGUGCCGCAAGGUGAAAGGUUAACCGCCUGAAGAUGAGCUCGCGUCCGAUUAGCUAGUUGGUGGUGUAAAGGACUACCAAGGCGACGAUCGGUAGCUGGUUUGAGAGGACAAUCAGCCACACUGGGACUGAGACACGGCCCAGACUCCUACGGGAGGCAGCAGUGGGGAAUUUUCCGCAAUGGGCGAAAGCCUGACGGAGCAAUACCGCGUGAGGGACGAAGGCCUGUGGGUUGUAAACCCUCUUUUCUCAGGGAAGAAGCUCUGACGGUACCUGAGGAAUCAGCAUCGGCUAACUCCGUGCCAGUAGCCGCGGUAAU